UGCCAGAUCGUCUAAUGGUAGGACAACGGACUCUGAAUCCGUUUAUCUUGGUUCGAAUCCAAGUCUGGCAG
rnacentral:tRNA from 3 species